rnacentral:misc_RNA from 1 species
CUUUCUCAAGUAUAUAAGUUGCUUCUUUUACCACUCAUGAGUCAGUGAAUUUCACACAGUUUCACUAUGAAGUGGAUUUUGUUUUUGUCAGCCAUCGCCUUGACGUCAGCAAGGGUGCUUCAACCCAACUCUGAGUUAUUUCGCAAGUUGCACACGUUGAUGACUGUGGACGAGUUGGGUCGAAUAUUUGGGGUUGUCAAUUCAUCGCAAGUUGACGAAUAUGAAGUAAUCUACAUUCGCCGUCACCGAGUGUCCGCCCCUACACGUCCUUUCCCGAACGGCGAUAAUCGUAACACGAAGAGAAGCAGUCCACAAGACAGCCAUGCUCAUUAUUCUUUCUCUGCCAAUGGAAAAACAUAUAACCUAAAGAUGCGACCUAACACGUUUCUUAUGGCGCCAAAUAUGAAGACGGUCGUACGAAGUGGUGGAUUACUGGGCGAGGAAAUUGUGAAAGAACAUCCCAGAGGCACCGAAUGUCAUUUUCUCCACACUGAUGGUGAAGUAGUCGCCGCUCUCAGUCACUGCACCGACGACGACAUUGAUGGUUACUUAAUCGAUGAAGGAAAAUCCUUGGAAAUCAGACCAGUACCUUCGAGAUUUCGUCAGAUGCUCAGCCUUCCUCCUGAUAACGAGGACGAAACUAUUAUCAUUGGGGCUCACAUCGUUCGGCCAAUUGAUCCACUACCCCAUUUUCAAGCCCAUCAAGCAAGCUGUGAAGUCGAACUACCAAUUCGGAUGAGGGCCAAGAACGUAACUCGGGAACCAGUGAUGAAAACUAAAACAUUUGAAAAGCGUAAAAGUAAUAAAAUUCCUACCGGGAAACAAAAUCAACACACACGAAAAAAUGCUCUGGAAAAAUCGAUUACUGAAAAAUCUGCACCCAACAAAGUGAUUGAACUGGGAAUCUUUGUGGAUUCAGCAGCUUUGGCUUUGUUUAUGCCAUAUUUUGGGACACAAGAGUAUGUUAAGCUUCGUGAGUUGGUUCUUGCCUUUGUCAAUGCGAUGCAAGCGCUUUACCACCUUCCUAGUCUGGGUCAGCGAGUCGACUUGUCGAUAGUUUACAUGGAAUUCCAUGCAAAGCCACCAGCCACGCUACACACUGGCGGUGAACGUGGCAAAAUGCUUGAUUCAUUCUGUGCUUUUCAAACAAAACUGAACAAGCCUUCAGACAAUGAUGCAGAGCAUUGGGAUAUGGCACUUUUACUGUCUGGGCUGGAUUUUUUUGCUGUCGAGAAAGGAAAAAACAAUUAUGCAACAAUGGGUCUAUCCACUGUCACUGGUGUUUGCACUGGUAUUUACAACUGUGUUAUUGGAGAGCUUGGUGUAACAAACCAACAAGGUCAAACAUAUCCUUCCACUGGUUUUAACUCAGUCUACGUAAUGGCUCAUGAAAUUGGCCACAAUUUGGGGAUGUCCCAUGAUAGUUCUGGAAACGUAUGCGCCAGGGAUGGUUUUAUCAUGAGUCCCUCUCGUGGCGUCGUAGGUGAAACCACAUGGUCAACUUGCAGCGCUAAAACUUUGGCUGCCAUUACAGAAACUUGCAUGAACGAUGUUCCUACGGGCAAAUUUCCCGAUUAUAACCACAACAAAUAUGGAAACAAGCCUGGCCAGCUGUGGUCAGCAGACGAACAAUGUCGAAUUCUGCUACGGGAUAAGGCUGCUGUUGCUUACUUUGCCUCUAACGCCGACCUUGCCGAAUCUUGCAAUUCGAUGAAAUGUAAAACGCCAAAUCGUGAUGGCUAUUACAUUUCUGGCCCAGCUCUUCCCGGAACAAUCUGUGGAAGCUCAAUGUGGUGUAACGGAGGCGAAUGCGUCUCAGUCGGCCGUGCAUUAAUUGCGAAAUCGGUUCAAGGGGGCUGGUCUGAUUGGACACAUAAACCUUGUCAGUCUGGCUGUCUUGAGAAAUCUAAAGGAGCGGUGGCAAGUGAGAGGGAGUGUACCGAUCCAACGCCCAGCGAUGUUUUACAUCGUUGCGAAGGUGCCAGUGUCAAAGCAUCAAUCUGCGAUGACACCCAAGUUUGCGAUGGAAAAUCUCGUUUGCCGUCUGUUGAAUUCGCCAAGCAGCAGUGUGCCAAAUUUAGUCAACAGAUGCCUUUCAUCGAUGGAAAAGGAGUGGGCAUACAAGCAGCAUAUUCUGAAAGACGGCCUUGGCAAUCGUGUGCCAUAUUUUGCAAGCGGAACGAUCGAGAGGGUUUUUACACGCCACGUUUUGAAUUGAAUAGUUUACCAAAAGUUUCUGCUCAUUUUCCCGACGGUACUUGGUGCGGAAAUGACGGAAAGAUGGACCUUUACUGCCUACAACGAUCCUGCGUCUCGACUAAGGUGGCCGAAGGGCUAGUUCGCAGCGAAGGAAAAAACACAGAUUUAAAUUUUGCGAACAACGCUCAGAUGACGGGCAAAAUCCAUCACAAAAUUCCUACAUCUCUCGAGGAUUACUUUAUGCUGGACAACGAUGGGAAUCCUCUGAAAGAAGAAAUUGAUGCUGAGACACUAAAAGUUGCUGAAGAGACUCUAAAGAGCCAUUUCGGUUACGAAGACAUUGAUUUCAUCACUUUGAAGCCACCUCAAUAAUAUAAAAAAAACGAAGCUAGAAAGACAUAACGGUGGAUGGAUCUCUCAAUCGUGUAAACCCGGGGACUACGUUGACGACCAGAGAUGAAGGUCUUCGUCUCCCUUUUUCUCUGGUGACAACAAUAUCACUACAAUAGUGACACGGUGAGCAAAAUCACCUAUGCCAAUGCAGGUGGUAGAAGACCUUCCCCACCAUCAAUCGAAUUCAACGAGCAACCACUGCACUAAACUUAGUCAACACACGUGCAAGUGCGGCACGUGUUCGGAUGGUUCGCAAUUCACCAAGUUCAAGUUUACAUGUCUAGAAUUGGUCAUGUGAUGUUUCCCUAACGAUCAGUAAGCAAUUCAGCCAUGCAAACAUCCGAUUGACCAACGAAUAUUGUUUACAUCCGUCAUACAAUAACAAGUUCGGGACUGAACGUUUGUCAUCUUUCGUUUCAUCCAUCAACAAAAUGGCUCUGGCAAAUAAGGGACAUUCCCUUCUUAUAACAGACUUUCAUUCUUAUCCGCGUGACGUAAAAUACGCAGUACUCUUAACUGGUCUUACACAUUCAGGAACGAAUUAAUGAUUCCCCGUCCUGCAAUGGCUUACAAUUAAUCAUUGGUAGACAAACAUGGACGACGCAGAUCUGAUCGAUAUUAAGCUGAUUCGGAGAGAACGCCAUGGAACGAACCCUCGUAUAGUAGCAGCAGUAAAUAAUAGGUGAUCGUGGCUCUCUUUUUUUUUGUUGCAAAUAAGUCUAGUUGACAUUUAUAUGCGUCCGCGUUGUUGACUCACGCAAGGUCGUCACGACUGUAGCACGUAUCAGAAUAACGUCACUUUGUGAAAAUAGCCAUAGUGUUCAUUCUGCAUGCCACCUUGCCAGUUGUCCCCAUAUAAUAAUGAAAAAUAAAGAGGAAGAACGGGAAUGAACGAUGUAUAACGGUAGGUGUGUGAACCCCAGCUGGGCAAAGUGUAGCGCGAGAGGUUUUUAUAAGAGCAAUCAACUCACGUUCGCCCCUUUCUAAUAUUUGUACCUUAAUUUGCCUUACAAAUGACGAUCCAUUUUCUCUGGCGUCCUUCAUCAACAUUGGAGCCCAUCACGGUGUAGCCUACUUGACGAACAAAAGAAAGAAAAUAAAAAAGUUUGCUGGAUCGAUGUGUUGUUGUUGCUGCAAAGGUGAUGGCGCCGGGGCGAUGUCAUAGACGUCGUGAAACGACGACGGGCACGGCGACAACUUGCUGCCCAGCCACGUCUCCUUCGCACAGUGCGUCCAUUUUUGGAAUGGCUUUGCCACUUUUAUGGAGACUGUCGUAAAAUGUAAGAUUAGUACACUCAAAUUUAGAGGUAUAUUUCAAGCAUUCGGUUUAUUCACGAAAUUAUCCAAACCUCUAUGCAGCCACCUAAAAAAGUUUUGAAUGGAUUCGUGCCCACUGUUCUGUAAGUUUUCCACGUACCUGUAAUUACGAUAAUUUAAAGCCAGGAGCGCAGAGAGACGAUAGGGGCUCUAUAGUAAUCAAGGCGAUUGCGUGUUGCAUCAACGCGGGAGUUUGCUGAAUCGAGCAGAAAAUGCUUAGAUGUGUACCUCGCAGCUUUUUUUUUGGGAUCCUGAGGCAGGAUUCAAGGAUGAUCGAUCACGCGAUAUUCCCAUAAUUGCCUCCCCGUUUUUGCAUUUUCUCAACGGGAUUUGCAAAGACGGAAAAGGGAGGCGGUAGGAGAUGGGAUGAAGGUGGCAUUUAAAAGACGACAUCUCCGAUUUCCAUCGCGCUCUCGUUGCAGACUUUGGCGUACUUUGUUUUUAUAACUAGUUGAAUUUCUGUUUGUUUCACAAGUCGCUUUGGCUAGUAAUGGUGGCUUCGCAUGACUCUCAGUUGAAUGUCCAUCUUUGCGGAACAAGAAGAAGCCAAAGGGGACGCAGAAGAAGAAGUCUAUCGAUACGCUCGAGGUCAUUUUAUACCCUACAGAAACUAUUGUUUUGUUUACGCUGCACGACGACUGAUGACGUUCGUCAAAGUCCGUAAGGCAAACCCAACACGUGACAUCUGAUACUAAACAAACGAACGAUUGUUUCUUUUGUUUGUUUUUUUUUCAGACGGAAAUAGUUCAAAGUAAAGAAGAAGAAGAAGAAGAAGAAAAAAAAACGUACAAAGUAUACGAGGUUCACGGUCUGGACUAACCCGCGGACUUUGUCGUGCGUGAUACUUUGUUUUUAACUUUUCUGGGAGAAAAAACUAAACAAAAAGCAAAAUAAUAAAAGUAGUGACUUUAGUUAUACGGUUAUUGUUGAAACAACGUCUACGUUUGCCUCCAGUUGGUAAGUCGAACAACUGGAUUGUUUCUUUUUAGGUGGUAAAUAGUGGGCUAUUUCCGUGAGUUGCGUAAAACGGGUGGGGGGGAGACCAGCUGUUACGACAUCAACUGCUUGAUUGUAUUGGCCCAUAAAAAAGUGCGUUACAGAAUGGAUAGGAAAGAAGAAGAAGAAGAACAGCAGGAGAAAAGAUAAGGAAAAAAAAAAAUGAAGAACGUCAAGAAGAAUCCCCGGAGCAAUAUCGACGAUGAUGGA